AGUGAACGCUGGCGGUAGGCCUAACACAUGCAAGUCGAACGGCAGCACAGUAAGAUCUUGCUCUUACGGGUGGCGAGUGGCGGACGGGUGAGGAAUACAUCGGAAUCUACUUUUUCGUGGGGGAUAACGUAGGGAAACUUACGCUAAUACCGCAUACGACCUACGGGUGAAAGCAGUGGAUCUUCGGACCUUGCGCGAUUGAAUGAGCCGAUGUCGCAUUAGCUAGUUGGCGUGGUAACGGCCCACCAAGGCGACGAUGCGUAGCUGACCUGAGAGGAGGAGCGGCCACAGUGGAACUGAGAGACGGGCCAGACUCAUAAGGGAGGCAGCAGUAGGGAAUCUUCCGCAAUGGGCGAAAGCCUGACGGAGCAACGCCGCGUGAGUGAUGAAGGUCUUCGGAUCGUAAAACUCUGUUAUUAGGGAAGAACAAAUGUGUAAGUAACUAGGCACGUCUUGACGGGACCUAAGCAGAAAGCCACGGCUAACUACGGG
rnacentral:rRNA from 1 species